rnacentral:rRNA from 1 species
CCUACGGGAGGCAGCAGUAAGGAAUAUUGGACAAUGGGCGAAAGCCUGAUCCAGCCAUGCCGCGUGAAGGAUUAAGGUCCUCUGGAUUGUAAACUUCUUUUAUGUGGGACGAAAAAAGGGCAUUCUUGCUCACUUGACGGUACCAUUUGAAUAAGCACCGGCUAACUCCGUGCCAGCAGCCGCGGUAAUACGGAGGGUGCAAGCGUUAUCCGGAUUCACUGGGUUUAAAGGGUGCGUAGGCGGGUAGGUAAGUCAGUGGUGAAAUCUCGAAGCUUAACUUCGAAACUGCCAUUGAUACUAUCUAUCUUGAAUAUUGUGGAGGUUUGCGGAAUAUGUCAUGUAGCGGUGAAAUGCUUAGAUAUGACAUAGAACACCGAUUGCGAAGGCAGCAGGCUACACAUAUAUUGACGCUGAGGCACGAAAGCGUGGGGAUCAAACAGGAUUAGAUACCCUGGUAGUCCACGCCCUAAACGAUGAUUACUCGACAUACGCGAUACACUGUGUGUGUCUGAGCGAAAGCAUUAAGUAAUCCACCUGGAAGUACGUCCGCAAGGAUGAAACUUAAAUGAAUUGACGG